ensembl:lncRNA
CUUAAGGGAACAUCACACAUUAAUAAUACACGCCUGUUUUUCACAGCCGAAAGACGUGAAUGCUCAGGAUAUUAACCUUCUCAGCCUCUGAAGAGAGAACUUUUUCAAGAAAUAGAUUGGCCUUCAUGAAAACAAACAGAAUAAUGUCAAGAAUGAAGAGUGGAGAAAAAAAAAAAGGAAGACAGAAUGGAUUCUUUGUAACAUCUGCCCCAGAUGGACAAGUGACAGCAUAUGAUGUGGCUGACUGCAGGCUGUGUGUGCUCCUGCUAACCAGCAAGCAUGUGCAUGCUGAUAGACUUAACAGCUGGACAAACAGGACCAGUAACUGCUGAUCUCAUGAAACUUGUUGUAUUUUAAUUAUCUUCAUGACCUUUAAUCCUCUAUAAAUUUCGCUGAAAUUAAUAAAUGCAUUGAAAAAUUUUUACA